rnacentral:hammerhead_ribozyme from 1 species
AUCCAGCUAACGAGUCCCAAAUAGGAAGAAACGCGCGUCCUGGAU